rnacentral:rRNA from 1 species
AAUCCUGUGCAAUGGAGCACAUGGCUUAUGCAUCGAUGAAGCCCGCGGCAAAAAGCGAUAUGUAAUGAGAUUCGUUAGCUUCGAGAUUCAUCGAAUUGGUGAACACAUACUGGACCUCUCUCGAGGUACUUGCGUUAGAGUGUCAGUUUUUUUGUAGUAUUGAUCUCUGAAAAAU